UACAGAGGUCCCAAGCGUUGUUCGGAUUUACUGGGCGUAAAGGGUGCGUAGGUGGUCGGGUAAGUCUGAUGUGAAAUCUCGGAGCUCAACUCCGAAACGGCAUUGGAUACUAUUCGGCUUGAGGAUUGGAAGGGGGACUGGAAUUCUCGGUGUAGCAGUGAAAUGCGUAGAUAUCGAGAGGAACACCAGUGGCGAAGGCGAGUCCCUGGACAACUCCUGACACUGAGGCACGAAAGCUAGGGGAG
rnacentral:rRNA from 1 species